rnacentral:lncRNA from 1 species
AAGCUUUACUUGCUUUCUUUUCAUCAUUUUAUUCGGUCAUUUCAGUUGAGUCUUUUACUUUUUUUUUAAUCCAUCCAGAUCUGUCAAGUCUUGUGCAUUGUAUGCAUUGAAUUUUUGUUUGUCUGCAAUUCUGUGUCAGUUGUGAGUUGUGUCUGUAUCCAUUGAUUAUGAGUUGCAAUACAUGUUGUUCACCAUUAAAAUAGCAAUGAAGUUCAAAUGAAUGAGCUCGGUGGCAAUGUGGCAAUCAGACCUGAAGAGAAAGUAAAAUGUAUAUUGCAAAUGUUUGAUACGGUAGAUGUGCUGAAAAUUCACUGUUUCAUUGGUUGUUUGUGGUUUACAAAGCCUCUGUAAAACUAAGUCCAGAGUGAAUACUAUAAAUC